UACAGAGGGUGCAAGCGUUACUCGGAAUUACUGGGCGUAAAGCGCACGUAGGCGGCAUUGCAAGUCGGAUGUGAAAUCUUAUGGCUUAACCAUAAAAGUGCAUCCGAAACUGCAGUGCUUGAGUACUUAAGAGGAUCGCGGAAUUCCCGGUGUAGAGGUGAAAUUCGUAGAUAUUCGGAGGAACACCAGUGGCGAAGGCGGCUCACUGGUCCAUUACUGACGCUGAGGUGCGAAAGCGUGGGGAGCAAACAGGG
rnacentral:rRNA from 1 species